ensembl:lncRNA
GGCCGAGGCACCAGAACUGCCAUUCUGAGGGGCUUUGGCUGUGCUCUCAGCUGCCUCUUUGACACCUCCUUCUGAGCCGGAGUCAGGACAAUCCCUGAGUCUUGGACCAGCCACCUGCUGCCACCACCCUCCGACCUGCUGGGCCUGAAGCUGCCCAGGGACAAAGAGGAACACAGGUCAUUUAUCUCCAGGCUUUGAGAUCUGCGUGGGGGAGCUGUUGCAGCAGCCCUAGCCGGCCCAUAAAUGUUGGCUAAUCUCACUGGAUCUGACAAAGGGCUAAAACGAUUUCACUGCGACAGAGUUGGCCUUUGUGACAGACAGU